GAGGAAUCAGAGGAGGUGAGCUGCUCUGAGAUCAGCUGUCACACAGAGUCCAGUCCACCAUCCUCCCUGUGUGUUCCUGUGGAUGUGACACAGCAUCAUCAGUGGAUCUGCUGCUGCUCUGUCCUUUGACUCACAAAAGUCAAAGUUAUGUGCAGAAAAAUGUGCUAAUUUAAUGCAAAUUUUACAUUCAAAUGUAAAAAGUGACAUUAUAUUUACUGGUCGGGCCAUGAAGCUGUGAGCAGUCGCUGUUAUGAAUAAAUAACUGCUGAGUUCAGACAAGCUUCUUAUAUUUUAAAACAGUUUCACCCCUGAUCCUGCUGACGGCAGCGUGUUAGCAUGUUGUGUUGAAAACUAAAGACAUCAGGUGAAAACCAUGAGCACUGCAGGGAAUCAGAAAGUGUAAAGUCGUGUUAUCUGAACACAGAUUGAUGAGACCAGGCUGUAAAUAAGAUGCUCAGUACAUUGAAGUAUAAAGUCAGCAGUGAUUUCUAAGAGUCGAUGUAAAUAAAGAAGAAAAGAAAAUGACGAGGUGAAGAACUUUUUCAGAUUAAAUAAGAAACAGAAAUAUUUUCACCCAAUGAGAAGCUGAGGUUGUUUUUCUGUUCAAAGUGAAUUUAAUCAUGUUAUUUGUCAAAUAGUGAAGUUUUCAUGUACAUAGUUUAAUAACCUGCUUCACCUAAUGACUCCGAUGUAAAGUGGUGUGAGUCUGUGGGUGAAAGACGUUUAGAAACACAGAGAUAAUUCGUUUGGAGCCGGGAGCCUGCGGCUCUGCUCGCGAAGGGGCGAACACGCAUUUACAUGAUGGAUCAGACACAUGGCACCGUUUGGGAAAUGAGGCCCGACACUUAUUGUCUAGUGUCACUGUGUUGUGUCACCACUGUUUACAACCAUGUGUUUUUAAUGUUGAAAUGAGUUGUUCCAUUCUGUCCUGAAUAAAGAAUCCCAUUAAUUCAUUAAUCAAUGAUUCUGAUACAUUCUGUGUUUUACUUAUGGAUGAAGUUUUCACUAAAGUGUUAAAAUUCAAGAUCAUCUAGAGAAACGUUCCCUGCUGGUGAAGAUGAAACACAGCUGAGAGACAGAGGAAGGCUGGUUUCAGCAGUGUUAGGCAGUGGUGGGACCGUGGUUUCCCUCUAGGUGACUCAGACAGCCUGCACCUGUGGAUGUCCAACAUGAGACACAAGUGGAAUCCAACCAGAAUGAACACUGAGUCAUCACUUCAACGCUGACUCCAGGGACGGACGAGCCUGAAGGACGCAGCUGUGCUGACCGUGUUCUGUCUCUUAUGGCAAAGAAGAA